AUCGAAUAUGUCAUUAGUACACACCACUCAAUGCCCUGGCCUUGAGCAAGUCUCAGCAGAGCUGAAGAGAGAGAAAGAAUUUCUAGGAAGGAAGGCCACAUACCAAUAGAGUGUGAAGGACUUUGCACCAAGAUGCAAGGAUCCCAGAGACUGCCUGUGCUUUCUGGCCUUUGAAGGUUCACAUUUUAAUGGCAAUCCUUGAAAACCUAAAAGCCUUAGAAACCAGAAGAAAUCAAUGUUUAAUGAUGGAACUUGAAACAUUAUGACAAAGGAGAAGGAGCUGAAAGGAAUUUUUAGACUUCACUGAGUACAACCAAUUCAUCUUCUGCAUGAGCAAACUUAGAAGGAGAGAGAGAAAUGACAGGUGUCACACUGCAGCCCCAGAUUUCCUAAUACAAACUGCAGGGAAAGAAUCAUAUUGGCUCACCUAGUAAUCUACCAAACCCUGUCAGAUGCUACUGUCCCUCCUAUUCCACUUUUCAAAGCCUGUCAAAGAUGACAAAGAUGACAAACAAUUGAUAAG